rnacentral:rRNA from 1 species
GAUGAACGCUAGCGAUAGGCUUAACACAUGCAAGUCGAGGGGCAGCAUGGUCUUAGCUUGCUAAGACUGAUGGCGACCGGCGCACGGGUGCGUAACGCGUAUGCAACUUGCCUCACAGAGGGGGAUAACCCGUCGAAAGACGGACUAAUACCGCGUACACUCCAUCUUGGGCAUCCAAGGUAGAGGAAAUGAAAUUCGCUGUGAGAUAGGCAUGCGUCCCAUUAGCUAGAUGGUGAGGUAACGGCUCACCAAGGCGACGAUGGGUAGGGGAGCUGAGAGGUUGAACCCCCAGACUGGUACUGAGACACAGACCAGUCUCCGACGGGAGGGUGGGGUGAGGAAUAUUGGGAGAUGAGCGAGGGCCUGAACCAGCCGAGUCGCGUGAAGGAUGACUGUCUUAUGGAUUGUAAACUUCUUUUAUACGGGAAAUGCAAAAGUCACGUGUGACUCCCUGCAUGUACCGAAUGAAUAAGCAACGGCUAACUCCGUG